rnacentral:rRNA from 1 species
UGCCGCGUGAAUGAUGAAGGCCUUCGGGUUGUAAAGUUCUUUUGACGGGGACGAUGAUGACGGUACCCGUAGAAUAAGCUCCGGCUAACUUCGUGC